rnacentral:rRNA from 1 species
GAAAGAAUAUCGGAGACGGAUGGGCAUGCGGCGCAUUAGCUGGUUGGCGGGGUAACGGCCCACCAAGGCGACGAUGCGUAGGGGUUCUGAGAGGAAGGUCCCCCACACUGGUACUGAGACACGGACCAGACUCCUACGGGAGGCAGCAGUGAGGAAUAUUGGUCAAUGGGCGAGAGCCUGAACCAGCCAAGUCGCGUGAGGGAGUACUGCCCUAUGGGUUGUAAACCUCUUUUGUCGGGGAGCAAAAGCCGGACGUGUCCGGCUGUGAGAGUACCCGAAGAAAAAGCAUCGGCUAACUCCGUGCCAGCAGCCGCGGUAAUACGGAGGAUGCGAGCGUUAUCCGGAUUUAUUGGGUUUAAAGGGUGCGCAGGCGGAUUUUUAAGUCAGCGGUCAAAUCGUGGGGCUCAACCCCAUCCAGCCGUUGAAACUGGGGAUCUAGAGUGUGCGAGAGGUAUGCGGAAUGCGUGGUGUAGCGGUGAAAUGCAUAGAUAUCACGCAGAACCCCGAUUGCGAAGGCAGCAUACCGGUGCACAACUGACGCUCAGGCACGAAAGCGUGGGUAUCGAACAGGAUUAGAUACCCUGGUAGUCCACGCAGUAAACGAAGAAUGCUACCUGUUUGGCCAGAUUG